rnacentral:rRNA from 1 species
GACAGAGGGUGCAAACGUUGCUCGGAAUCACUGGGCGUAAAGGGCGUGUAGGCGGGAAGGAAAGUCAGAUGUGAAAUCCCCAGGCUCAACCUGGGAACUGCAUUUGAAACUCCCUUUCUUGAGUACCGGAGAGGAAAGUGGAAUUCCUGGUGUAGAGGUGAAAUUCGUAGAUAUCAGGAGGAACACCAGCGGCGAAGGCGGCGCUCUGGGCCGGAACUGACGCUGAGGAGCGAAAGCGUGGGGAGCGAACAGG